rnacentral:snoRNA from 1 species
UGGCAUACCCGUAGACCUUGCUUGGCUGCUUAUAGUCAGGCAGGGGGGACAGUGUGUGCAAGAGAAAUCGGAGUCUCUGCAAAUGUUAACCAGCUUAUUCAGUGACUGGAUAAACUGCAGUACUCCAACAUUC